rnacentral:lncRNA from 1 species
UCAUUGUCCUCGCGUUGCCACCAUGACCAGGCCACUUUUGUCUUUCAAGUCAAAACCUAUGCGGCCUACCGCCUGGACAAUUACAGGGAAAGCUAUCCCUAUGGGCGAUUAGCUCCACCUGUUGAGGUCAGUUCCCCGCCCCCCCCCUCCCCCGCCCUGGGCCGGGCUGCUUCCCUCCAGGUUACGACGGAUUGCAAGCGCUUCCUUUCUGGAGACGAGCUCCCUCCGGCCGUUGACUGCAAAAAGCAGCAACAUCUGCCGGCUCGCUCGCCCCUGCCCGUCGAAGGGGUCGAGGGGACCGCAUGGCAGCUGCCACCGCGCCGCACAAAAGGGGGCGCCGCUCGCGAGGAGCCACCGGCCUUCCGCGGACCCCGCGGCUCGGGGAUAUCCUCGGAGCCGGCGAGGGCGGCGCGGCCCGGGGGGCAAGCCCAGGUGCGGCGAGGCGGGGAGGAGGGCCCAGCCGCGCGCCUAGGAGGAACGCCUGACUCAUGUCGUGGCGGCGGCGGACUCCUGGGAACUGAAACUCGUGAUGCUGCUGCUGCGGAGAAAAGCCUCAUUACCCAUUCCGGGGGCGGGGUUUUCGGGGGGGAUACACCACCCGGGGCGCGGACACCCGAGCCCCGGGGACCCGGCGGCUUCCGCGGCCCCCUCCGCCCGCCGCGUGCCCGCGCGCGCGCCGGCCGCGUGUGGAAAAAGGAGCGGACACGCCUAACCGGCGCGCGCUCCGCGCCCCGCCCCACCCCCCAUGGGCCGACCCGGAUUCUCUCCCCCGAGGCCGAAAUUCCCCACCCCCCUACCGCCGGCGCCUCAGUCAACCUUCGGCAAUUUCCGCCGGGACACCCGGCGCUCGGCGAGGCCCGAAGACCCGCCGCCGCCGCCUCCUUCUACCGCCAGACCCGGCUUUAUGUCUGCGGCGCCGAGGCGCAUGCGCAGACGCCAUCUUCCCUCCUCCUCAGCCGGCCCCCUCCCGCCGCUGCCACCGCCUCCGCCUCCUCUGGCCCGCGGUCGCCCCUCCUCCUCCUCCUGCGCUCGGGCGCUGGUCCCUCCUCUCCCGAUGCCGCGAGAGACCGGGGGAUACGGCGGAGCCGGAGAAGAGCACUAGUAACAACCACCACAGCCCCCUCCUCGCCCGCCGCCCUCCCUCGGCACCCACCCACUCACCCGCCCCGUUCGCCGACACCGACCAAACCCCACCUCUCGUUCCUUUGA